GGGGAAUAUUGCACAAUGGGGGAAACCCUGAUGCAGCGACGCCGCGUGGAGGAAGAAGGUCUUCGGAUUGUAAACUCCUGUUGUUGAGGAAGAUAAUGACGGUACUCAACAAGGAAGUGACGGCUAACUACGUGCCAGCAGCCGCGGUAAAACGUAGGUCACAAGCGUUGUCCGGAAUUACUGGGUGUAAAGGGAGCGCAGGCGGGCGAUCAAGUUGGAAGUGAAAUCCAUGGGCUCAACCCAUGAACUGCUUUCAAAACUGGUCGUCUUGAGUAGUGCAGAGGUAGGCGGAAUUCCCGGUGUAGCGGUGGAAUGCGUAGAUAUCGGGAGGAACACCAGUGGCGAAGGCGGCCUACUGGGCACCAACUGACGCUGAGGCUCGAAAGUGUGGGUAGCAAACAGGAUUAGAUACCCUGGUAGUCCACACCGUAAACGAUGAUUACUAGGUGUUGGGAGAUUGACCCUCUCAGUGCCGCAGUUAACACAAUAAGUAAUCCACCUGGGGAGUACGACCGCAAGGUUGAAACUCAAAGGAAUUGACGGGGGCCCGCACAAGCAGUGGAGUAUGUGGUUUAAUUCGACGCAACGCGAAGAACCUUACCAAGUCUUGACAUCCCUUGACGAUGCUGGAAACAGUAUUUCUCUUCGGAGCAAGGAGACAGGUGGUGCAUGGUUGUCGUCAGCUCGUGUCGUGAGAUGUUGGGUUAAGUCCCGCAACGAGCGCAACCCUUAUGGUCAGUUACUACGCAAGAGGACUCUGGCCAGACUGCCGUUGACAAAACGGAGGAAGGUGGGGAUGACGUCAAAUCAUCAUGCCCUUUAUGACUUGGGCUACACACGUACUACAAGGGCGUUAAACAAAGAGAAGCAAGACCGCGAGGGGGAGCAAAACUCAGAAACAACGUCUCAGUUCGGACUGCAGGCUGCAACUCGCCUGCAGGAAGUCGGAAUUGCUAGUAAUCGUGGAUCAGCAUGCCACGGUGAAUACGUUCCCG
rnacentral:rRNA from 1 species